rnacentral:rRNA from 1 species
GUAGUCCACGCCCUAAACGAUGUCGAUUAGCUGUUGGGCAGCUUGACUGCUUAGUAGCGAAGCUAACGCGUGAAAUCGACCGCCUGGGGAGUACGGUCGCAAGAUUAAAACUCAAAGGAAUUGACGGGGACCCGCACAAGCGGUGGAUGAUGUGGAUUAAUUCGAUGCAACGCGAAGAACCUUACCUGGUCUUGACAUGUACGGAACCCUCCAGAGACGGAGGGGUGCCUUCGGGAGCCGUAACACAGGUGCUGCAUGGCUGUCGUCAGCUCGUGUCGUGAGAUGUUGGGUUAAGUCCCGCAACGAGCGCAACCCUUGUCAUUAGUUGCCAUCAUUAAGUUGGGCACUCU